AAGUGUCUAUUGUGUUCGUGGUUGGCCUUAUUCCCCUGAGCCGAUAAAUUAAUAACUAAGGAUAUGAGAUAGGUUACUAUUGUGCAAGCCCUCCUUGAAGUGGGAAGCCUGCGGUAAUCUUCGAAUUUCCGCCUUGAACCUUACUGGUUCAGGUUUAGGUCUCACGACACAAUAGAUUUUAA
rnacentral:other from 1 species